rnacentral:rRNA from 1 species
UACGUAGGGUGCGAGCGCUAAUCGGAAUUACUGGGCGUAAAGUGUGCGCAGGCGGCCGCGCAAGUCGAGUGUGAAAGCCCCGGGCUUAACUUGGGAAUUGCGCUCGAAACUACGUGGCUGGAGUGUGGCAGAGGAAGGUGGAAUUCCACGUGUAGCGGUGAAAUGCGUAGAGAUGUGGAGGAACACCAAUGGCGAAGGCAGCCUUCUGGGCCAACACUGACGCUCAUGCACGAAAGCGUGGGGAGCAAACAGG